GAUGAACGCUAGCGGCAGGCUUAAUACAUGCAAGUUGAGGGGCAGCAUGAUAUACGCGAGUAUAUUGAUGGCGACCGGCGGACGGGUGAGUAAUAGGUAGGAGACCUACCUCAUACAGGGGGAUAGCAUAGAGAAAUCUGUGGUAAUACCCCAUGAGGUUAUAUGAAUAGAGGCAUAUAAUCAAAGCAUAAGCGAUUAUGCGGUAUGAGAGGGGCCUACUGACCAUUAGCUAGUUGGUGAGGUAAGGGCUCACCAAGGCGAAGAUGGUUAGGGGUUUUGAGAGAGAGACCCCCCACAUUGGAACUGAGAGACGGUCCAGACUCCUACGGGAGGCAGCAGUAGGGAAUAUUGGGCAAUGGGCGAAAGCCUGACCCAGCCAUGCCGCGUGAAGGAAGACGGGCCUUAUGGGUUGUAAACUUCUUUACUACGCGAAUAGAGGUUAGUACGAGAUACUAAUAGGAAGGUAGUGUAGUAAAAAAGCAACCGGGCUAAACUCCGUGA
rnacentral:rRNA from 1 species